GACAUUUUGCUGCGACAUUUCAAAGAGCCGGAAAGUAAAUAAAUGGCAGACAGAAAUGAGGCAGGUCGAAUCGUCUUACGUUUCAGGCAUGCGCAAUACAGGAACGUAAGCUUUUUCAGUCGUUUCAGUGUGGAUGAACAACUGUUCGGAAACGACUGAAAACAAUAGUGUGGACACGGAGCAUUUUUAGACGACAGCGCUGUUUUCAGAUUUAUCUGGAUUAGUGUAGACGUAGCCUUACUUAAGUAAAGUUGCAGUACUUAUACUUUAGUAAAGAAUGUCUAUACUUUUGCUAACUCUGCUGAUCACACCUCGUAUGAGCGAAAUGAGCUUUGUUUCAUUGGUGGCACCUCUAACGAGACAGCGUAGAGACAAAACAGGCAUGAAUCAAUCCUGAGAUCUGAAUUUAAACUUGUGUAAGGAUGCUGAUUUUAAAACACAGUUCUCUCUUAUUUAUUUGGAUUAUUGCUUGUGGGUUUUAGGUUAGGUUAGCUUUUUUCUUUUAUAAAAUAUAUUUUCUUUCAUUUUUGGGGGGAAAUAAAGAAGAUUAGGGCUCUAUUGUUUUUACUACAACAGUAGCAACAGUGGUAGAAACUGUAGACUAACAAAAACUAUGAAAAUGGCAGCAGAUUACAGAGGAUUUUACUCAGCGUAUUACACAGCGUAACACAGUUAACAUGUUGGGGGGGGCUAAACAGACUUAUAAUUCCACCAUGUGGUACAGCUUGCUUCACAGUAAAUCUGACAGACCUUAAGCUUGUUAUUUUUACAAAGAACAGAGCGAUCUUCUCUCCACUACUUGCAGUCGAGAUACACGCACUGAUUAAAGCAUCCCUUCAAACUUAAAAAAAACUCAGUUUGGAAACUGUGUUUACACCUAUCCUAUCCUGAUGAAUAAUUAACUCAAAUCAAUCCAACUGAAAAUAAUCCCAAUAUUUGCAAAAGGUUUGACUGAUUCAUUCGAAGAGUUGAUUGGGAAGAGUCAGUGUAGCAGUUAAUUAGAAACCAGCGAAAACCACCUGUUCAAACACGCAGCCUGGAAGCCUGUCUGAAUAUCCCACGGCCGCCCGCGAGUGCUGUAUCAUCACAGAGAGUCUCAUGUAAAUGAGAGAGAAAUAGACGAAGACGGAUGGACGCAAUAUCCCUCAUCGGACCGAAGCUGACCACAGAACGAGCGCUCGCUCCAAUUACCGUCCCCAAAAGAAGCUCGUGCUCGCCCCAGUCUCCCUCCUCAGGCAGUGUUGACACCUUUUUGUCUGGCCUCCCUCUGAGUCAGUGUCUACUGUUUGGUCGAUGCUUGCCGCCUUUGAGACACCCCUCCACCCCCAAGUCCUAAUAAGCAGAAGUCUAAUGGUGUCCCAGGGCUGCUGAGGGGCCUCACAUUAAGAUAAUUAGGCAGAGAGAGGGUGCAGGAAUGAGGCCCUGGAGAGGAAGAGGAGGAGACACUUGUGCACUUUCUGAGAAUCUGAGCUCUCUCUGCUUCUGGUUUGUUGGUCUCUGUAACCUUAUUAAACCCCAUAGCAAGGCUGCAAAUGAGGUUUUCAAACCACCUAAAUAACACUUAAUGCAAGGUAUCAUGAAGAGACUUGUCUUAUGUGACAGCCAGCAAAAGAGGAGCUGUGCCAAAGAUUGCAGACAUUUGUGCCUUAUCAUUACUCUAUGAGUCAUCCAUAAACCCGAGUGGCAAACGGCGCACAUGAGUGAUGAAUCCAAAUGGGCCUGAAGAUGCAGCUCUGCUGAUUACCAUGUGACACAGCAUUAGGGUUUGACUAGCUAAUUUGAUUUCUUCAAAUGUGUUGAAAUUUAUAGCGCUAAAGAGGACAAAAAUAGCUAAAUGCAAAAUAUGUUUGUCCUCACAGGUAGGUGACUCAGAUGUAAACAGAUGUUGCCAAGCUUUAAUUUCCUGGGUAGAAACAACUGUCAGCGCAGUGACAGCUGCUUACGCUAAAGAGACAGGAUGAUAUCGUGAAUCUCAGAUCUAUGUACUAAAUAUAAAACUAAAGCUAGGAGACAGUUAGCAGCUUGGCCCAGAGAGUAAAGAAUCCACUGCAACCAAAACUUGUUAAACAAUACUUAUAUAUGUAUAAAAUAUACUUAAUUUUAGCAACACAAAAAUGAAAUAGCUUAUUUGUGCACUAUAAUUUGUUGUCGACUGCAGAACGAUAGCUCACGCACAUAGCUACCUAGCGAUACCUAGCUAAUUAGCAAUAGCAUAUUUUGUAAAAAUGUAGCUCCUUUUUUAAAAGUUGUUUGGUUUGUUUGUGUGUUUGGUUUUUGUUGCUUGUGAGAUUUUUUUAAGUUUAAUUAAGUUAUAAAUUCAUGAAAAGUUAGUUUAAUGUUAACAGAAAGUGUUAUCGAUCCAUCCUUUUUCUGCUGCUCACCCAGGUCUGAAUGCGAAAGGCAGUAGUCUAAGCAGAGACACCCAAACCUCCCUCUCCCCAGCCAGCUGAGAGAUAUAAUCUCUCUCCAGCGUGUUCUGGUUCUGUCCCAAGGCUUCCUCCGGGUGGGACAUGCUCACAACAGCUCACCCAGGAGGUGCCCCUGACGGCCAGAACGUAGGUCGACCGCUCUUCACCUCAACAGACAGGUACAGCAUCCUGUACUAUACUUAAACUCCUCCACUUGGGGCAGGACCUUGUUCUUAGAGUGGCCACUCCACCCUUUUCUGUCUGAGAACCAUGGCCUCAGACUUGGAGGUGCUAAUUCUGAUUCCAGGCAACACACUUGGCCAAAAACCACCUCAGUGCGAGCUAGAAGUCCUCACUCGAUGAAGCUGACUAGACCACUUCAUGCAUAAAGGAUCCACCGAACCUGACACCCUCCACAGCUCAAUUACUACCAUAAAAAUAGAAUCAGUGACAAAGUUCAGCCCCUGCGAUGUCCAACACCUCCAACACAUUGCAGACUCCUUUUUUGGAAACAGGAAAACGAGUCCAUCUUCAAACUGAAAUAAGUUAAAAAGCAUAUUUCCAAAAAACAGGUAACUUUUAAUUUAAUUGUACGUAUAAAAAUAUCCUCUAAAUUUGCUUCUAUGAGUAUGACAGAGCAAAGUCAAGUUAAAAAUGGGACAAAUUUUUACUCGGUUCUCUUUGAUCCAAACCACUAACUGCAGAUGUAGUGGAAACUUUCCUGUCACUCCAGCCGGCUAUGAGCCUGAAAGACAAACUCGGGGAUGGAACCUCGACUGCGCUUUUCCUGCCUGUUUGAACACAAGGACAGAAGCUGAGCUUCAAACGGAGCCCAAGCUGGAGUGACGCCUCACAGAUAACUACCUACAGCUCUGUCAUUUUCUCUUUCACAGCCUCUCUUUGCUUGUUUCUACGGCCCGCACGUAGGUUCACUAGCUGAGGCUCUGCUUUCGGAUCUGGCACUCUGCAAUCAGAUGUGACAUGCUGAAGGCUCGGAUGACAGCUGCGAAGACAAGGUCACACAGUCACCUACUUUUAACGAAGGAUACGUACGACUCCUCUUGACAGACUAGUGCAGCGCAUGAAAAACACAUUUACGCGCCGCCUGCAUACACACUGUACGCCUGCGUGCACCUUCAUUCACUCACACAUAAACUCGUACACACACUCACAGUCACAUCGCGGAGCAGGAGCAUUUUGCAGAUGGGGGUCUUUUCUCGUGCCUGUGCAAUCUCAGAAGCAAUUACCUAUUAAAAUUUCAUCCUUCCCAUCUCAGAAUGUUUAGGUUAUAAGAUUAUAACUACUGGGAAGGUAAUUAAGCCAGCAAAUGGGGAGCUGCAUUGUGAAUACUGAGAGAUAUGUAUGUUGUGUUUGUGUGUGUGUGUGCUUUGUCUUAAUAAUGCUAACAGUGAUGCCCACCUAAAGCUCUUGAGUGUGUUAUCCCAAAUGACAAGCGCAAAGAAGUCAAACGGUAAAACUUUACAACUAACGUCUUCAUUAAGUGGCACAACAAAGGUCGCAACUAUGUAAAAUGCAGACAACACAGCCAAUAGAAAGCUCUGUCAUUCAGCAGUGAUCUUUGCCUUUGUACGUCUGGAUGUUGCCACUGAGAUCAUUUGACUCGUUGCACGCUCAACUGUCCAGGUAAGGAAAUCCCAGAAAGCCAAUUCUGUUCAUGUAGACAGGAUUUCAUUUUCAGUAGGAGGAAACACAACAUAAAGAUGAAUAGGUCCCUUCUUAUGGUUUUCUCCUCUUUCUUGUCCUUACUUUCCUCUUUUUUCCCCGUCCCUCCCCUCUUUGUCUCUUUGAUGCUAAAAGAGGAGAGACACAGGAUUUUUCAGCCUUUUAAGGAUUCAAACAAAGUCUCCAUUUUUUGUUUUUUUGAGGGGAGGAGUGACAUGAAUAGUCUGCAAGCCUGCCCAUCUGGGGAAUUUAUAGGUUGGUGGGUUCUGGUUCAAGAAGCAACCUCAAUCUCCAUUUUUAAUAUGCAGGAUUGGGGGUGGACAUAAUAAACAGAAACCCCGGACUUGUGUGUUGCUGAUUGAUUCUGGGUGUUUCACACUUGUGUGGGAUAUUCCUCUUUCAACAAGUAGACUGAACCUUAUAAAUGAUACAGCAACGGCGGUCAUCAAUGAUUCCUUCGCAGACAACUGGCAUUCUGGCUGUCACGCAGGACCCAAAGGAAUUUCUCUUCUGUUAAAUAAACAAAGGAGACCUGCCAGACCAGGUUCAAUCAUGCCAGUAAUAGGGCAAUCUGGCCAUAAGCUAUAAUCAAUAAGUGCUUUUGCACUAAAAAUAGAUUUUCCAGCACAAUCUUUCACUAUAUCUGAGCAGACUCGCUUCGUGUGCACAGAGUGCACGACAGACCCUUUAACCCGAGUACUUAUCUUUACAUUGCAAUUACCAAUCUCUUCAGUCUUCUUCGUCUUCUUCCCCUCUUUCCCCCCAUCUGUCCUUCACAUUCACAGUGACACUUGUAAUGAUAAAUCGCCUUGCCCUUUUUCAGUCUAUUUAUCUUCUGUUAAUCAUUUAAAAUAAGAAUAACACGUUGAGUAAAUCCAUACCUAAUUCACCUCCAUUCUUGCAACCCUUAUAAAUUGCCUGCAAUGCUUAUGGAAGUUUGGGGAAGGGGUCUGUAAACCAAUCAGGUGGUUGUCGUGUGUAGGGGGGGGGGUCCUGGCAGAUCGUGGAGGUUAAUAACAUUCCACAUGAUUACCCACAAGCCAGAGGAUUAGAAGGUUAAGGGGAGCGGGUUCCACAUUGCAAAUAAUAAUCGCUAUUUCACAGCCGUGUCCUCCUGGCCACUUAGGUGAUAGGCCACCCAGCUAUCUCUUCUCUCCCACAGUGUGGAGAGAGAAAAAAAAAGGACUUCAGUGGACCCUGACACCUACUGAAAGCGUUAUUCAUCUCUUUUCAUGGAAGCCCUUUUUAGGACUCCCACCUCCCUCCUCCGAAAAACGACCCUUUUCUUUUUAAAUAAAUAAAUCAAUGCAACCUUUUUCUUUUUUUGAAUUCUUUCUCCACACAUUUUUCUAUGAGAUGUGUUCUCAUCAUGAUGUUGAUGGCAUCUGUGGGUGUAGCGCUUCACGCUGAGUGGGGUUAUGUCACCUUGUCGUUGCAGGAUUGCGCAUUUAUCUCAUUCUCCCAAACAGACGCAGGCAUUCGCACCCCCUGACCGCUGCCUUUGAUGCGGACGUCCUGAUUCAUUAGCAGUCAUUUGUAACUGUGACGUGUGCGGCGUUUAAAGAUGGGGGACGUAAAGAGAAAGGAGUGAAUUAGCAAUGUAUGGAUACUGCUGUCUCUGUGUUCAAUAAUAAUCAAGCACCAUCUUAUCUUAAACAACUCAUAGUACCACAUCACCCCAAUAGAGCUCUUCUCUCUCAGUGUGCUGGUUUACUUGUCGUUCCUAGAGUAUUAGAAAGUAGAACGGGAGGCAGGCCUCUCUUAUGUGGGACCAGCUUCCAGAACCCAAUCUGGGAGCUGGUUUCACAGCUCCCAGUUUGGGUUCAGGAAACAGACACCCUCUCCACUUUAAAGAUUGAACUUGAAACUGUCUUUUUUGAUAAAGCUUCUAGUUACGGCUGACUCGAUUGACUCUGCACCCUCCCUUAGUCCUGCUGCAACAGGUUUAGGCUGCUAGAAGAGGCUCUUUUUUACUUUAGAAAUCAAGUGUAAAUGGCAAAUUUGAUGGAAUAAAUUUUCUUCCUGUACUCACAAAAGUAUGGAGAUGCACGCAAAUGCACAAAAAGGCAAGGCUUCUGGAUGUGUGAGGAUUUCAGUUUCCAGUCAGUUAUAAUGCUACAAGGUGCCAUUCGGGUAUAACUAGAUAAUAAGAAUGAGGCAGAGGGAACUCUGUGUCACUCUGUGUCUCUGUGCUGAAUACCAGACUAGAUUUGUUAUUUUGUUUUGGCAUAAAAAGGUGACGCAAUUUUCAAGUGAGCCCGAAUGCUGUGUGCUGCCCCUGUAUGUGUUAUAUGUCAUCUACUGUACUCUCUGCCCUGCAUGCAUUUAUGUACGUAUGCGCGGGUUUUGUGUGCAUUCAUCUCUUUGAUCUUCGAUGUUCUAAAAGCAAAUAAGCUUGAUACUGUAGCAGCCCACGGGACACAGCAGAAAUAGAUGGCAUUCAUACGCUUUGUAUUAUACCCUCCCUCCACACACAUACACACAUAUGUAAACAGACAACCACUUCCUCUUACACACACACUCCCACUUGCCUCUUUCUCUCAUUAUAUCAUGUGGGCAUGAACCAAAAUAAAACGGUGAAUAACGGCUGAAAAGACAGGGAGAUAUUCUCUUUCUAGGCUGUUAUGAAAUGGAUGGAUAUCUGGCCAGUGUGAGAUAAAACAAAAGCCAGUGCUGUCAUUUGAAAGAAAAAAAAAAAACACAGAACAAGCCCUGCAGGGAUGUGUGUUUUCUCUCAACGUUUAUGGUCGUGUCUUUUUUUAAACGAUUUUCCGAAUCUGCACCAUCGGCCAGAUACGAGGCUGCUUUCAAAACGUUCGUCUCCGGCUGCGACGACCCACUUGAUCCCAAACUCUCACAUCCGUCCAUCACUCCGAAUGACUUCGCAGAGGCUCUCUGACACCAACCGGCAUGCACUCAAUCUCGCUUUAAAUAAGCAGCUUUUUAAAAAAAAUUGUAUUUGCUGACACGCAUACGCACCCCGCCCACGCCUCCAUAUGCUGCUCUAACUUAUACACACGGUUCACAACAACCAAUAAUGAGCUGUCCAGAACGGCCAGAAGAAAAGAAGUAAAAGAAGA